rnacentral:misc_RNA from 1 species
CCUGAAUCCUGAUCCAUUUCAUGAGGUGGUUUGCUGCAUUCUCACCACCUUCAACAUAAUAAACACCAAUCAAUGCUUCAACAACAUCUGCCAAUGUCUUGCUAGAGAGAACUCUAUAAGAACUAGAGUCGCUCUCAAGUUCACCAUCCUCAAUUUCAUCAUCUUGAUAUCCAUCAUCAGCAUGAUCCACUCCUGGUUUAUCCUCAGAAAGCAAUCUUUCCUGAUCAAAUAAGGAGGAUUCUCCAUCCUUUGUAUCCUCAUCGAAGACAGGCAACACCCCAGGAGCAGCCCAUCUAGAGGGAGCAAAACGAUCUGCCUGGAUAUAUGAUUGAAGUCCUUUAUUUAAUGCAUAUUGAUACAGAACCAUGUUACUCACCAUUUGUUGUCUCAUCCUAGUGAGUUGACCCUCAUGUUUCUGGGGAUAUUUAAGAAAAAGAAAUCGACUGACAACCCAUUUCAGAUAAGCGUCUCCUAGAAGUUCUGCUCUCUCAUAGCAGAAUGUCUCUUGGCAUGAAGCUGCAGUCAAGGCUUCCAAGAUCUUUGAAGCAGGGACUGAAUAAUCUAUCAUAUCCUUAAGUUGAACUGCAAGCAGCAUGCUUUCAACCCUCCUCAUUAUUGAUGGCAAUCUUUGGGCACCUCGAACAAGUGAUCCAGGAAGAGGGUGUACUAAACAUAGCUCAGGAGGAAGAAAAACAUAAUAUGUUUUGUCAAGAAUUUCUUCAGAUUCACCUUCAUUUGAUUCUGAGUGUUCAAACCGAGGAGAUAAAAGAUUCUUGCAGUAUGAAACACCGCGUCCUCUCAUUAAUGGUUGUUGCUUAAAUAUCAAUUCAACACCAUACUUUUGCUUGUAAUAAUCAGCAUAUGAGCUAUACUCUAAAGGACCAAGAUAACCCUCUUUCCUUGGAAAUGAGUUCUCUGCAGUCAUGUCAUAGCGUAUUGAAUCCACAUAGAACCUUUUCCCAGAGUGCGCGGCUGUUACAAUUCUCCCUACCAAAUCUUCAGCAUCAACACAAGUAUCAGCCAUCAUCAGUUUGCCUUUGGGCAACCCCACUUUCUCUGUUUCAGUUCCAUCCCGAUUAGGAACCAGUCCAGAAGCUUUCACAACAUCAAAUUGUGCUACAGCUCCUCUGAUACCAUAGGUGGGAUGGGAUUUCUGUCCAAAAGCCAUGCCAUGACGUAAUUUCACAAAUCCAUACUCCCUUCUAUCUCCACCAAGUGUCUUCCCAUUUGUACCAAGGUAAACAUCUGGUCGAGCCCUCUGAAGGGGAUUGCUCCACGCAUCUGUUCUAAUUAUUUUAUCAACUAGAUCCCAGUCAAUUUCUUUUAUAGGAUCCACAAACUUAUCGCCAACCAUAGAGACAAACAAAUAUGCUUUUGCAGGAUCCCAUGGAGUGGUGGAAGGUUCAACAUCCACGUCCAGUACAAUACUCAUCAAUCUCACAUGAAAACUUUUAAGGGAUGCCAGCUGGGUUUCAGUAACAUUUAUUGGACCCCUGAAGACAAGAGAUGCCUUAGUUAUAAUGGUUCGAGCGAUAAAUAGAUCCAUUGACAUCGAUAACAACCUCUACAUCCAGCUCGUUGCCAAAAAGCACUGCAAAAUCUGAAAAUUGAGUUAAGAAUGGAUCUUUUGAAGUGCCUUUGUUUACAUAUAUAACAGCAUACAUGUAAAGAUGAAGCAAUUCGGAGUUGUUGCAACCAUCGCUUCCACGUAAGAUCCAUUCUCCCUGAAAGGCCAAAGUAGUUUUAAGCAGGUAUGUGCUAGAGCCUAGAUGACAAUGACAAAUUAAAAAUAUGCCACCUCUUAAGCACUACUUGUUAGCAUUAUCCAAAACAGAUCAUAUGCUGCUUUACGAACAAUUUUUUUUUUUGGUUGGUGGGAAGGGUGGAGGAGAGGGAGAUACCAUGCGUUUUGUAUGUGAUAUCAUGAAUCACAACAUUUUUAAUUUGUAUCUUGAUAACUGCAACAAUAUUGAAAUGGAGAUGCCAAAAUCUCCAUAGUCCAUUACCAUGAAACUUUUAUUGCUGAAAUAUUACCUUUUCCAUUCAACAUUCUUUGGAGAAAUCCCAUCUUCCGAAAACAGGAGAUAGAU